rnacentral:rRNA from 1 species
GACGAACGCUGGCGGCGUGCUUAACACAUGCAAGUCGAACGGAAAGGCCCUGCUUUUGUGGGGUGCUCGAGUGGCGAACGGGUGAGUAACACGUGAGUAACCUGCCCUUUACUUUGGGAUAACUUCAAGACACUGGAGCUAAUACCGGAUAGGAGCUCCUGCUGCAUGGUGGGUGUUGUAAAGUUUCGGCGGUUGGGGAUUGACUCGCGGCUUAUCAGCUUGUUGGUGGAGUAGUGGCUUACCAAGGCUUUGACGGGUAGCCGGCCUGAGAGGGUGACCGGCCAACUUGGGACUGAGAUACGGGCCAGAGUCCUAAGGGAGGCAGCAGUGGGGACGAUUGCAUGAUGGGCGGAAGCAGGAUGCAGCAACGCCGCGUGCGGGAUGACGGCCUUCGGGUUGGAAACCGCUUUCGCCUGUGACGAAGCGGGAGUGACGGUAAUGGGUAAAGAAGCACCGGCUAACUACGUG